GUUUGUUCUUCAUCUUGCACAAAUUAGCUGGGUGUGAUUCAGAUGAGAGGCUGUCUCCUCGUGAAGAACUGCUGAGCACAUGCUCUCCCAAACUGUCAUUCAAGCUAUUACUGAGCUGCCAUGCCAACUCCUCGUCUUGUUUAAGCUGUUCCUCCAUCUCCUUUCGUCUUUCUUCUGCCAAUCUGUGCUCUUCCUCUUCUUCUGCUAGCAGCUUUUGAAUGUACUCCUCACUUGCCUUGUUCUCUUCUUGCUCAUGUGCUCGCCUUUCUGCCUCCACCUUGCUAACCUCUGCUUCAUAUUCCUGUCUAAGUUCCCCAGGUUUGCUCAGCUGGUGUUGUGGAUGGGGGACAAAGAUUUCCUCUUCCAAAUCCUGUCCGUUAAUUCUACGCUCACAUUCCUUCGGAUAUUUCUUUUGAAUCUUCUCCCAGAGUUCCCAGUUGAUGAGAGUGUUUCUGCGGGCAUUAUAC
rnacentral:lncRNA from 1 species